rnacentral:rRNA from 1 species
UGGGGAAUAUUGCACAAUGGGCGCAAGCCUGAUGCAGCCAUGCCGCGUGUAUGAAGAAGGCCUUCGGGUUGUAAAGUACUUUCAGCGGGGAGGAAGGGAGUAAAGUUAAUACCUUGGCUCAUUGACGGUACCCGCAGAAGAAGCACCGGCUAACUCCGUGCCAGCAGCCGCGGUAAUACGGAGGGUGCAAGCGUUAAUCGGAAUUACUGGGCGUGAAGGGCACGCAUGCGGUUUGGUAAGUCAGAUGUGAAAUCCCCGGGCUCAACCUGGGAACUGCAACUGGUACUGGCCAGCUUGGGUCUCGUAGAGGGGGGUAGAAUUCCCGGUGUAGCGGUGAAAUUCGUAGCGAACUGGAGGAAUACCGGUGGCCAAAGCGGCCCCCUGGACGAAGACUGACGCUCAGGUGCGAAAGCGGGGGGAGCAAACAGG